rnacentral:rRNA from 1 species
CUGGUUUGAUCCUGCCAGUAGGCAUAUGCUUGUCUAAAGAUUAAGCCAUGCAAGUCUAAGGUACAACACGGCCGAUCAGUUGAAACUGCCGAAUGCUUCGAGUUUAAAUCUAGAGGGUUAUGGUUCGCUUUGAUCGCCUUCGGCUCCAACGUUACUUGGAUAACUUGGCAAUUCUAGAGCUAAUACAAUGCCAACGAGCGGGGCUGACUCCGGGAUUGCGUGCAUUUAUCAGACCCAAAACACCAUUUGCGGCCAAUCUCGGUUGCCCGGCGCUUUGGUGAUCUGAUAACCUCAGGAGCCGAUCGCGCGCUUUUGUGGCGGUGACGUCUCAUCGAAUGUCUGCCCUAUCAACUUUCGAUGUGUAUUUUCUGUGCUACCAUGGGUGGAUUCUGCCAACGGGUAACGCGGAAUCAGGGUUCGAUUCCGGAGAGGGAGCCUGAUGAAGACGGCUUACCACAAUCAAGGAAGGCAGCAGGCGCGCAAAUUAACCCAUCCCACUCGGGGAGGUAGUGAACGAAAAAUAAAUACAGGACUCUUCUCGAGGCCCUGUAAUUGGAAUGAGUACACUUUAAAUCUUUACACGAGGAUCCAGUUGGAGGGCAAGUCUGGUGCCAGCAGCCGCGGUAAUUCCAGCUCGCAAUACGUACUUAAAGUUGCUGCAGUUUAAAAAGCUCGUAGUUGGAACCUCGGGAUCAGAGAGCUCUGGCGGUCGCCGCGAGGCGAGCUAACGCCUGUCCCCCAGCCUGGCCUCUCGCGCCCCCUCGAUGCUUCUUAUGAAGUGUCCGCGGGGUCGAAGCGUUUACUUUGAAAAAAUUAGAGUGUUCAAAGCAGGCCCGGUCGCCUGAUACCGCAGCAGGAAUAAUGGAAUAGGACUCCGGUUCUAUUUUGUGGGUUUUUUCUUCUGACUGGGGCAUGUUAUUAAGAGGGACGGCCGGGGCCAAUUCGUAUUGUGCCGCUAGAGGUGCAAUUCUUUGGACCGGCGUCAACGACGAACGAAAGCGAAAGCAUUUGCCAAGAAUGUUUUCAUUAAUCAAGAACGAAAGUCGGAGGUUCGAGGACGAUCAGAUACCGUCGUAGUUCCGACCAUAAACGAUGCCAUUAAGUGAUCCGGGCGGCGUUAUUAGCCCAUGACCGCCGGGCCGCGUCCGGGGAAACCAAAGUCUUUUGGGUUCCGGGGGGAAAGUAUGGUUGCAAAGCUGAAACUUAAAGGAAUUGACGGAGGGCAACCACCAGGAGUGGAGCCUGCGGCUUAAUUUGACUCAACACGGGAAACCUCACCCGGUCCCGACACGGACAAGCGAUUGACAGAUUGAUUAGCUCUUUACUCGAUUCUGUGGGUGGUGGUGCAUGGCCGUUCUAGUUGGUGGGAGCGAUUUGUCUGGUUUAAUCCGAUAACGAACGGCUCCGGCAUGGCUAAUAGUUAUGCGGCCCCGAGCGGGUCCGGUGUCAACUUCUUAGAGGGCCAAGUGGCGUUCAGCCACACGAGAUUUGUCAAUAAAGGUCUGUGAUGCCUUAGAUGUCGCGGGGCUGCACGCGCGCCACCUGAGCGGAUCAAGCGUGUGUCCUACACCUUCGGAGGCGUGGGUAACUCCGAUGAACCCUUCACUCGUGAUAGGCGAUUGGGGAUUGCAAUUCUUUCCAAUCGAACGAGGAAUUCCAGUAAAGCGCGGGUACAUAAGCUCGCGUUGAUCAAGUCCUGCCCUUUGUACACACCGCCGUCGCUAUACCGAUUGAUGGUUUAGUGAGGUCUCGAUCGGCCCUGCGCGAGGUCGGUCACGGCCUGGUGGACGCGCCGAGAAGACGUCAAACUUGCAUUAGAGGGAAGUAAGUCGUAAAAGGUUUCCGUAGGCUGAACCUGCGGAAG